GAUGAACGCUGGCGGCGUGCCUAAUACAUGCAAGUCGAGCGAAGCGGGGACGGGUGAGUAACACGUGGAUAACCUCCUAUAAGACUGGGAUAACUACUGGAAACGGUAGCUAAACCGCAUACCAUCGGAUGUGCCCAGAUGGGAUUAGCUUGUAGGUGAGGUAACGGCUCACCUAGGCGACGAUCCCUAGCUGGUCUGAGAGGAUGACCAGCCACACUGGAACUGAGACACGGUCCAGACUCCUACGGGAGGCAGCAGUAGGGAAUCUUCCGCAAGUGGCGAAAGCCUGACGGAGCAACGCCGCGUGAGUGAUGAAGGUCUUCGGAUCGUAAAACUCUGUUAUUAGGGAAGCGUUACCUAAUCAGAAAGCCACGGCUAACUACGUGCCAGCAGCCGCGGUAAUUC
rnacentral:rRNA from 1 species